rnacentral:rRNA from 1 species
GACGAACGCUGGCGGCGUGCUUAACACAUGCAAGUCGAACGGAAAGGCUCCAGCUUGCUGGAGUACUCGAGUGGCGAACGGGUGAGUAACACGUGGGUAAUCUGCCCUUCACUCUGGGAUAAGCCUGGGAAACUGGGUCUAAUACUGGAUAUGACCUUUCUCCUUAUGGGGUUUUGUGGAAAGUUUUUCGGUGUAGGAUGAGCCCGCGGCCUAUCAGCUUGUUGGUGGGGUGAUGGCCUACCAAGGCUACGACGGGUAGCCGGCAUGAGAGGGUGAUCGGCCACAUUGGGACUGAGAUACGGCACAGAAUCCUACGGGAGGCAGCAGUGGGGAAUAUUGCACAAUGGGCGGAAGCCUGAUGCAGCGACGCCGCGUGAGGGAUGACGGCCUUCGGGUUGUAAACCUAUUUCAGCAGGGACGAAGCGUAAGUGACGGUACCUGCAGAAGAAGCACCGGCUAACUAUGUG